rnacentral:misc_RNA from 1 species
GACAUGGUGUGGGGCUAAAUACUAAUGUGCUUAUUAGACUGGCACAUGCAUGCCAAGCAAAAACACAUCAACAUCACACCUUGUAGUUAUCGAACAUGAAAGACCACUUAGCACAUUCGGUUCUAUGCAUGCCUAUUGAUUAUAUGGUAAGAAGCUAUAGUGUGAAAGAUCUAGAAGUAAGCAAGUAGUCUUCGAAGGACAGUGUGUGGUCGCAAAUUUCUCACAAACAUAAUUAAUGGAGCAUUAAUAACAAAUCCUUCCACCUCCUUUUCUGUUGGGAAAGCUUUUAAUUCCACAGACUUUUUCAUCACUUAUAAGUGCUUGUCUCUUCACAGAUUGUUGCAACUACUUAUUGUUGCUAUUAAUUUUCUCUCUGUCUGUCCCAUGUAAGAGUCUGUUUUGUAGAAAGGAAAGUUGG